AUGGUCUUCCCUGCCCGUCGGGUAGCCAUGGGCUAAAGCAAUAGGCGGGAUAAGCAUGUAGAGCCGAAGGCGGAGGACUCACGGACGCGGGUUCGAUUCCCGCCGCCUCCACCA
rnacentral:tmRNA from 1 species